rnacentral:rRNA from 1 species
UACGUAGGUGACAAGCGUUGUCCGGAUUUACUGGGCGUAAAGAGCGCGCAGGCGGUCGUUCAAGUCGAGUGUGAAAGCCCCCGGCUCAACUGGGGAGGGUCAUUCGAUACUGAUCGACUCGAAGGCAGGAGAGGGAAGUGGAAUUCCCGGUGUAGUGGUGAAAUGCGUAGAUAUCGGGAGGAACAUCAGUGGCGAAGGCGAGUCUCUGGACGACUCCUGACACUGAGGCACGAAAGCUGGGGGAGCAAACAGG